AGCAGCCGCGGUAAUUCCAGCUCCAAUAGCGUAUAUUAAAGUUGUUGCAGUUAAAAAGCUCGUAGUUGAAUUUCGGGACCAAUCUGCCGGUCGUGCCUCCGGUACGCACUGGUUUUAUUGGUCUCUCCCUUCUGACGAACCAUGAUGUCAUUAAUUUGGUGUCUUGGGGAAUCAGGACUGUUACUUUGAAAAAAUUAGAGUGUUUAAAGCAGGCUCACGCUUGAAUACAUUAGCAUGGAAUAAUGAAAUAGGACGUUUGAUUCUAUUUUGUUGGUUUCUAGGAUCGACGUAAUGAUUAAUAGGGAUAGUUGGGGGCAUUAGUAUUCAAUUGUCAGAGGUGAAAUUCUUGGAUUUAUUGAAGACUAACUACUGCGAAAGCAUUUGCCAAGGAUGUUUUCAUUAAUCAAGAACGAAAGUUAGGGGAUCGAAGACGAUCAGAUACCGUCGUAGUCUUAACCAUAAACUAUGCCGACUAGGGAUCGGAUGAUGUUAAUUUUUUCAAUGACUCAUUCGGCGCCUU
rnacentral:rRNA from 1 species